rnacentral:rRNA from 1 species
ACUCAAAGGAAUAGACGGGGACCCGCACAAGCAGUGGAGUAUGUGGUUUAAUUCGAAGCAACGCGAAGAACCUUACCAGGUCUUGACAUCCCUUUGACCGGUCUAGAGAUAGAUCUUCCCUUCGGGGCAAAGGAGACAGGUGGUGCAUGGUUGUCGUCAGCUCGUGUCGUGAGAUGUUGGGUUAAGUCCCGCAACGAGCGCAACCCUUGAUUUUAGUUGCCAGCACUUCGGGUGGGCACUCUAGAAUGACUGCCGGUGACAAACCGGAGGAAGGCGGGGAUGACGUCAAAUCAUCAUGCCCCUUAUGACCUGGGCUACACACGUACUACAAUGGCCGGUACAACGGGCUGCGAAAGAGCGAUCUGGAGCGAAUCCUAUAAAGCCGGUCUCAGUUCGGAUUGCAGGCUGCAACUCGCCUGCAUGAAGUCGGAAUUGCUAGUAAUCGCGGAUCAGCAUGCCGCGGUGAAUACGUUCCCGGGUCUUGUACACACCGCCCGU